rnacentral:misc_RNA from 1 species
CCCGAAACACCACAACCGCCAAAGACAUACACGUGUCGAUCAUCAGAGGCGGUUGAAUGGUAACUCCGGUGAGCAGGGCCGGUGUCGCCAGUAGAUAGUAGAGUCCACUUGUUUGUAAAUGUGUCAAAAGAGUAGAGCUCGUUCAGCUCCUUGUGUGUAGCGUCCCUGCCACCAAAUACAUAUAUAGUUUUGUCGACAGCGGCCAUUGUGACACCAACCCGCGGCGGAGGAAUGUCACCGGUGACUUGGAGGACAGACCAUG